UACGUAGGGCGCAAGCGUUGUCCGGAAUUAUUGGGCGUAAAGGGCUCGUAGGCGGCUUGUCGCGUCGGGAGUGAAAACCUCGGGCUUAACUCGGGGCUUGCUUUCGAUACGGGCAGACUAGAGGUAUGCAGGGGAGAACGGAAUUCCUGGUGUAGCGGUGAAAUGCGCAGAUAUCAGGAGGAACACCGGUGGCGAAGGCGGUUCUCUGGGCAUGAUCUGACGCUGAGGAGCGAAAGUGUGGGGAGCGAACAGG
rnacentral:rRNA from 1 species